UGCUAUGAAAACUCAAGUAGGUGCUGUUAGAGAAACAGGGAGAUGAAUAAUGAGUCAUAGUUCCAUUUAUUAAGAAAAGAAAGAAAGAGUAUGAGAAGGAACGAAAAAGAAGAAGGAAGAAGAUAAGGUUGAUAUUGAUAGUUGUUGAUGAUGGUGAAAGAGUUAGAUAGGGAGUGAUGAUAUCAUGUUGUAGAAAUUGAUUGGGAGUUAGUGAUAAAUAAAAAGAAGGAAAAUCAGAAAGAAAGAGAGAUUAGAUAUAUUAGCUAGAUUAAAUGAAAGUUUGGAAGAAGAGUUGAUGAUGUUGAUAUUACAGGGAUAAUUGUUUAUUAUAUGAUUUUAUUAUGAUGAUAAUGGAUGAUGAUGGAAACUAGAUAAACUAUUCAAGUUAUUCUAUAUUAACAACGAUCGAUUCAAAGGAUGAACCAGUGCAUUGGGGAAUACAAGGUAGGCGUGGCUUGUCAUCAAAUCAGGUGGGAACUCUGUGACCUUCUUGUAAUCAAUAAGUUACUUUCUAUUUGCGAGCAUGAUGAGUCUUUAUUGUUUUUGGCAUUUUUUUGUAUUUUACUAGCUAUGUAAAUGCUUGUAUGUGUCUUGAUGUGCAUGUAAUAUGGUUGUAUGAUUUCCCCGCAAGGAGUGUCUGUGUAUCCCCACGGAUCUUUGCUAAGUUAAGUAUGACGACUUCUUCCCCAUUUUAAUAUUAUUUAGUAGGGCGGCUUCUUCCCCGUUUCAAUAUAUUAGUAGGGCGGCUUCUUCCCCGUUUCGAUAGUAUAUAAAUAAUAUAUAGUAGGGCGGCUUCUUCCCAGUUAUAAUAUUACCUAGUAGGGCGGCUUCUUUUCCGUUUCGUUAUUAGAUAUACUAUUUUAAAUUGGGGAAAUCACUCGUGUGCAUAUUAUACUUGUUUGUCUAACUUCCUGAUCUUGAUAGUAAUAUUCUGAAUCAUGGUUUGUCUGGGCAAUUGCUCUCGCGUCGUCUUCUCUAAUGAGUUUGGCGAGGUUAGAGUGACACUUGCUUCAUGAUGCAUAAAUAGAUGAAUGAUAAGUUACUUCUUGUUUCUUUCAAUUUAUAUUCUAGUAGAACUGUGAAGCAUGUUAGUGAUUACUUGAGAGUUAUAUGUUUUCAUUGAGCACCCUUUUGGGAUGAUGUGCUCACUUGUUCCCACUUCAGUUUCAGUUACCAGAAGAAAUGUUGCACGUGAAGAUAUCCGUUUUCAUAGUUUAAAGCAUUACAUUUAUGUAUCUUUUGUGUAUGUGUAUUCUUGAUUUAUUGUAAAACAACAUACCAACAUAUUAAUAUCAAUUGAGAGUUCUUCAUUAAUAAAUAUCAGAGUGUUGGGUUCAAGUUGGUUUUAGUUCA